rnacentral:rRNA from 1 species
UCACCGGCGGACGGGUGCGUAACACGUGGGAAUAUACCUUUCGGUACGGAACAACUGCGGGAAACUGCAGCUAAUACCGUAUACGUCCUAGCGGAGAAAGAUUUAUCGCCGAAGGAUUAGCCCGCGUUCGAUUAGCUAGUUGGUGAGGUAAUGGCUCACCAAGGCGACGAUCGAUAGCUGUUCUGAGAGGAAGAUCAGCCACACUGGGACUGAGACACGGCCCAG